AGCGCGAAAAAAGGUCCUGGGUUAUUUGAGCUUCGAGCCCCGUCUGAGUGGGAGUUGUUCGUUGUCUGCUCUUUUCUCCUCCUCCUACAAGGAAAUAGGAACAACCAUGUAACUUUGAGUGUGGAAGCCAUGACAUAAGGAGGGCAGAAUUAAAAGAUGGAAGGAUUUUCAUACCGGAAAUAUAUACAUAUGAAAUGACUGAAGACAGAUGGAGAGCUUUUCUUAUAUGGGAUUGAAAUCUGCACGUGUCUACCAAGCUCCCAGGAGAUGCCAGUGCUGCUGGUCUGAGGACCAUACUUUGAGGACUCAGGGGCACUAUUUUAUGCUCCUACCUUCAGAGGGAAACAGUGUAUAGCAGAGACAAAGGAAUCUUUUCCUGAGUUCUGAGUUUCAAAAGUUUAGGUCUUUGCGGGAAAAGGGAAGAACUUAGGAAAAAAUGUAAAGAUUGGAGAGAAGUCAUGAUACAAUUGGACUGGAUUGCAAAGAAAAUCAGUGUCCCUAAGAAGACCCCUUCUCCCUCCUACCCUCCCCCCACCCCCUGGUUGGGAGAAGCAGAACUCCAAGAGAAACGUGGGGAAUCUGUGGGGAGUUAUAAGAUUCAUUCAUACCAGGUAGGUGGGAAUUUAUAAAGGAAAUUAAUUAGCCUUACAUCUUACACAUGUAAGAUGUGUUUCAUAAGUUUUUGUAUUUUUUUUUUGCGGUAUGUGGUCCUCUCACCGGCGUGGCCCUCUCCCGCUGCAGAGCACAGGCUCCGGAUGCGCAGGCUCGGCGGCCAUGGCUCACGGGCCCAGCUGCUCUGCGGCAUGUGGGAUCUUCCCGGACCGGGGCACGAACCCGUGUCCCCUGCAUCUGCAGGCGGACUCUCAACCACUGCGCCACCAGGGAAGCCCCAUAAGUUUUUUUUUUUUUAAACUAUGUUAAUGAUUUGUUCUGUGCUUACUCUGUUCUAGGUAGGGGCCAGCCAAGAGUUUUAUGUAUUUUAUUAUUUCAUCUACAACAACCCCAUGAGCCAUGGGGUAGCUACUUCUAUUAUCCACAUUUUCAGCAGAAUUUCAGUGAGGUAAAGGGUGUCCUGCCUAUCCCAUGGUUAAUAAGUAGAGGACCCAGGAUUUCUGAUGAGAUUUUUGUGGGGAUUAAGUGAAUUGAUAUUUGUAUCUGUGAGCCAACUGUGCCUGGCCUGUAGUAAAUAUUAUAUAAAUGUUAGCAAUUAUUGUUACGAUUCCUUGAUUUUAGAUUUUAGAAGAUCCUCUCCCAGUUCUUUCUCUUCUACUGACAGAGCUAGAGUUUUCACCUCUUUCUACCCCUUCUGCCAAAAGACCUGAGACCUGUGUUCACUCCUUCUCUAGUAGAGCCAAGAGGCUGGUGGAGAAAACUUCUGUAUUCAACAUGAUUUGUAGGAAGUAAGAAGACAGGGGAAGCAGCUUUUCAGAAUAUGGAGAGAAUUGGCGACACCAGUAGGGUGAAAAGAGGACCGUAGGUAUUGUUGGAGAGAAGGGAGAGAGCACGGAAAGUCAGAGCCCUGUGCUUGGCUUCCUUUCUCCAGAGGCCCCAGCUAGCAAAGAGGCCUCCCUGCUCUAAGUACAGCCAUGCCUUGGUACCCCCUGGGGAUUGGUUCCAGGACCCCCACGUAUGUCAAAAAUGCACUGAUGCUCAAGUUGCUUAUAUAAAAUGGCAUUGUAUUUGCAUGUAACCUAUGCAUAACCUCCUAUAUAAUUUAAAUAAUCUCUAGGUCACUUAUAAUACCUAAUAGAAUGUAAAUGCUAUAUAAAAAGUUUCUGGUAUGCAGCAAAUUCAAGUUUUGCUUUUUCGAACUUUCUGGAAUGUGUUUUCCCAAAUAUUUUCUAUCCAUGACUGGUUGAAUCUGCAUGUGGAACCCUCAGAUAUGGAGGGCUGACUGUAGUGCAAAGGAAUGAGGUAGUUGCAUUGGAGGCUCAGUGACCAAUCCCGUAUCCUUCACUCCCUUGUCCUCUACAAUUGGCACUUUUCACUUGAACCAUUGAAUAAAGAACUGCUGAAACUAUCCUUAGGGUCUAGUGGUUGUAUGCAGUUGACCCUUGAACAAUAUGGGUUUGAACUUCGCAGGUCCUCUUUUAGGUGGAUUUUUUUCAAUAGUAAAUGCCACAGUACUAUUCCAUCUGAGGUUGGUUGAAUCCUCGGAUGUGGAACUGGGGAUAUGUAGGAACUGCGGAUAAUGGAGUUACAUAAGUCAUACUUGGAUAAUGCAGUGCCCCUCAACCCUGUGUUGUUCAAGGGACAACUAUAUUUUGCUUGAGCAUAGGCGGAAGAGGAGGUAACUGGAGCACGGGAGGUGGUAUGUCCUUCCUAUGUGGUCACAGGCAGACUAUCAAGCAUCAAGAGCAGGCACCUAAAGUCAACAACAGGCCAGAACAAUGAGGAAGAGCUUUUCAUUUUAUAUUCUUCACCUGGAUAACCGAAUACCGGUGUACCUGAUAGACACACAUAGACAGAUUUGCAUGAACUAAUGAAUUCUACUUUUUGCGUAAGCCAGUUUGAGUUAGGUUUCCGUCAUUUCUAGCCACAAAGAAUCCUGAUUGGUCAUGCCACAUAAUUUGAGAAAUUAAUUUUUUUUCUGUUAAAUACAAGGAACCUGAAGAACUGAAGAAGUAGUAGAUUUCAUUUCCCUGAUUUUAACGGGCAAAGGCACAGGCGGUAUUCUGGAUGGACUAAUUAAAAAUGAGAAAAUGAAUCAGGAUUUUGACACCAGAGUCAUUCAUGGAGGGUAUUAGUAUUUACACAUAUCUAGAACUCUAAAUGUAAAGGCUAAAUUGGAACUGAGGGUCGAAACUUCUUUUGUUUACCCUCAUGGAAGUCUGCCUCUGAAGAGAGAGAAUGUGCUGAUCCUAUUGGUGUCAUGCAUUUCUAGUUAUAUGGCAGUUUAAAAAACUGUAUAAUACUAAGUGGGCAUUUGGUUUUUAAUGCUUCAGUCUCCUGAAUUCAUUAAUAUGAGUCUACCCUUGGGAGAUGGCAGUAUACCAGUUACUUAGCUAUUGUCAUUUCACUCCACAUUUAACCUAUUCUAGU